AGAGUUUGAUCCUGGCUCAGGAUGAACGCUAGCGACAGGCUUAACACAUGCAAGUCGAGGGGCAGCGAGGGCGUAGCAAUACGCCUGUCGGCGACCGGCGCACUGGUGAGUAACACGUAUGCGACCUGCCCCCUACAGGGGUAUAACCCGUAGAAAUGCGGACUAAUCCCCCAUAGUCCUGGAGGCUGCAUGGCAUUCAGGGGAAAGGCCAGCCGGUAGGGGAUGGGCAUGCGGCGCAUUAGCUAGUUGGCGGGGCAACGGCCCACCAAGGCGACGAUGCGUAGGGGUUCUGAGAGGAAGGUCCCCCACACUGGUACUGGGACACGGACCAGACUCCUACGGGAGGCAGCAGUGAGGAAUAUUGGUCAAUGGGCGCAGGCCUGAACCAGCCAAGUCGCGUGAGGGAAGACGGUCCUACGGAUUGUAAACCUCUUUUGUCGGGGAGUAACGUGCGGGACGCGUCCCGUAUUGAGAGUACCCGAAGAAAAAGCAUCGGCUAACUCCGUGCCAGCAGCCGCGGUAAUACGGAGGAUGCGAGCGUUAUCCGGAUUUAUUGGGUUUAAAGGGUGCGCAGGCGGCGCGCCAAGUCAGCGGUCAAAGUUCCGGGCUCAACCCGGUGUCGCCGUUGAAACUGGCGUGCUCGAGUGCGUGCGAGGAAGGCGGAAUGCGUUGUGUAGCGGUGAAAUGCAUAGAUAUGACGCAGAACUCCGAUUGCGAAGGCAGCUUUCCAGCGCGCUACUGACGCUGAGGCACGAAAGCGUGGGGAUCGAACAGGAUUAGAUACCCUGGUAGUCCACGCAGUAAACGAUGUCUACUAGCUUUCCGGGAUGAUUGAGUCCUGGGAGGCACAGCGAAAGCGUUAAG
rnacentral:rRNA from 1 species